UACGUAGGGGGCAAGCGUUAUCCGGAAUUAUUGGGUGUAAAGGGUGCGUAGACGGAGAAACAAGUUGGUUGUGAAAUCCCUCGGCUCAACCGAGGAACUGCAACCAAAACUAUUUCCCUUGAGUGUCGGAGAGGAAAGUGGAAUUCCUAGUGUAGCGGUGAAAUGCGUAGAUAUUAGGAGGAACACCAGUGGCGAAAGCGGCUCUCUGGUCUGUAACUGACGCUGAGGUUCGAAAGCGUGGGUAGCAAACAGG
rnacentral:rRNA from 1 species